rnacentral:lncRNA from 1 species
GCACAAUCAAGAUAUAUAUAAGACAAAGAAAUCAAUCCAUUACAAAUCCAUCUAAUCUAAUCCCUAAGAUAAGGGAUUUUAGCCAAGCAUAUUCAUAAUAAAAACAAAUCCCAAGUCAUAAGAAAACAUAAAUAAAGAUAUAGAGAGAUAGAGAUUCAUAGACAAAUCCUAUAAUCUUGAUCUUCAAUCAUGUAGUCUUGAUGAGCUCCUUUCCAAGUCUUCCCCUUCUUUCUUUGAUUUUAGUGUUGUUCUUGUGUGUGGAAGAGAGAAGAAUGGUAGAGAAUGGAGGCUAGGGUUUUAGAUGGAGUAUUGGGGAAGAUGAAGUGGGUGUGUGUGUUGAUAGAUAUGAGAAAAGAGGGGGAAAAUGGAGUUUUGGGCUAAAAAUCACGUCUGGGCCCACCAAAGGGCGGAUCCCCGCCUCUUCCCCGCGGUCACGGCAUGAACCGCGGCUGGAAGCAGGGGAGGCCGCGGUCAUGGGAGGCCGCGGCAUGGGCCGCGGGUUACUGGGCAAAUUUGGAGCAGAGGCCCACGGUCGGGCCCGUGGCCGCGGCCCGGACCGCGGGCGCCUGGGCUUUAUGCGCAGUCCGCUUGUUCGGUUCCGUUCUCCCUCGUCCGGACUCGGAUUUGGUCGCCGUUUGUGCUCACGAAUUCCUAUCGAGACGUACUUCGAUCUCAUGUCUUCAAAAUCCUCCAAUUAAUCCUCGAUUUUCCCUGAAAUCACUCCAAAAGCUACACCAAGCAUCAAAACUCAACAAAACUCAAAAUGGGGAAACAAACACAUAUUAAAAUUCAAUUCUAGGGGGGAAAAGACAACAAUUCAUGCAAUAUUGAGGUACGAAAACCAUGUUUGUCAACCCCCCAAACUUAAAGCGUUGUUUGUCCCCAAACAACAAAGAGACGAGAAAUAAAAGAUAACAAACAUGUGAGAAUGAAUUGGUGUUAUUUCAAGGGCUUCAAAUUUUUCAAAAAUCUUUAAAAAGUGUAUCACAAGUAGAAAUGCAUUCCAAGAAGUCACAAGUGAUAAUGAGUUCAACAUUAUAGCCUCCAAACUUGAAUCCUCACAAAUGUGGAUGUUUCAAUGAUGCACUCAACUCUCAAGUGUUUAGAUUGGACGUGUUUGCACUCAAAUUGAACCAUGUAUGCAAUCUACCAUAGGCUUGCCAUUUAUCCUAACUCUCUAUACUUCAAUGUGUUAUAAAUAAUGAUCAACAAGGGCUUUCAUAAGGUUGUAAUGAGGGCUCGUUGGUGAGGUGAGGUGUUUUUAGGCAAAUGACUCAUAUCCCACAAUUAACAAUCACAAUGAACAAGUCAAAUUUACCAUUUCUCUUAUCAAUCAAAAACCAAAAUCCCUACNUGGGUGUGUGUGGUGAAUGAUUGGGAAAGGAAGAGAAAAAUGGAGUUUUGAGGUUAAAAUCGCGUUUGGGGUCCAUUUGGGGGAGCCCCGCCCUUUUCCCGCGGUCACGGCCCGCGGCCGCGGCCUUCAAACGUGGGAGAUGCUCAGGGGACCCGCGGUCCCGCCCCGCGGCCGCGGGUGGUGACCGCGGGUGUCUCCUGAGUCGGGAACAGCUGACCCGCGGUCCCACCCCGCGGCCGCGGGUGGUGACCGCGGGGUACUGGGCUCUGUGCGCAGUCCGCUUGUUUUGCUCCGUUCUCCCUCGUCUGGACUUGGAUUUGGUCUCCGUUUGCGCUCACGGAUUCCUCUCGAGACGUACUUCAAUCUCAUGUCUUCAAAAUCCUCUAAUUAAUCCUUGAUUUUCCCUGAAAUCACUCCAAAACUACACCAAGGAAUCAAAACUCAAAAUUGGGAUACAAACACAUAUUAGCAAUCAAUUCAUGGGGGAAAAUGACAACAAUUCAUGCGAUAUUGAGGUACGAAAACCAUGUUUGUCAACCCCCCAAACUUAAAGCGUUGUUUGUCCCCAAACAACAAAGAGAAGAGAAAUAAAAGAUAACAAACAUGUGAGAAUGAAUUGGUGUCAUUUCAAGGGCUUCAAAUUUUUCAAAAAUCUUUAAAAAGUGUAUCACAAGUAGAAAUGCAUUCCAAGAAGUCACAAGUGAUAAUGAGUUCAACAUUAUAGCCUCCAAACUUGAAUCCUCACAAAUGUGGAUGUUUCAAUGAUGCACUCAACUCUCAAGUGUUUAGAUUGAACGUGUUUGCACUCAAAUUGAACCAUGUAUGCAAUCUACCAUAGGCUUGCCAUUUAUCCUAACUCUCUAUACUUCAAUGUGUUAUAAAUAAUGAUCAACAAGGGCUUUCAUAAGGUUGUAAUGAGGGCUCUUUGGUGAGGUGAGGUGUUUUUAGGCAAAUGACUCAUCCCACAAUCUAUCAAUCACAAUGAACAAAUCAACUUCACCAUUUCUCUUUUCUAAUCAAUCAAAAACCAAUAUCCCCAUAUUUCUUCUUUUCACCCUUAGUGAUACUUAUCAUGAUAUGAUUCAAAAGGCAAAUCACUCCCCUUUAUGCUCUUUUAUUCUCAUUCAUUUUCAUUUCUUUUUUUCUUUUUCUUUUUUUUUAUUCUUUUUCUUUUUAAGCUCAUAGGGGACUAGUGAUUUUCACUCAAUCAAAGCUUGAUAAGCAAUUUCAAUCAUUUCCCAACCAUUUCAUCAAAGUAACCACUAACAAUCUAAGUUCUACCCAUCAUUGGUUAAUUCAAAGAAAUGCUAUAAGGCACAAAGAGGGUAAACUAGGAUCAUAUGAGAAUUUGGACACAAUUUAAGUCAAGUGGCUAACAAGGAUGACCUUAAAUCACUUCAAUAUUAACAACACAUCUACUUUUAUUUUCAAGAGAGGACUCAUGGCAAGUUCUAGAGAUCAACAAACAUGCUCAAAUGAUUUACACUCAAGAACAAAAUGAGAUUGUAAUUGGAUGACAAUCAAGGGCUCAAUUCUCACAAGCUCAUUUUAUUUGCAAGUUCUUGGAGGUAAAAUAUUUAGCUCAUUUGUCACAAGUUCAAACUCUACAUGCAAAAUCAACAAGUGAAACACAACAAUUUCUUUUCAAAAGCAACAUUCAUAUCAUAAGCCCAACACACAUUUCAUCCAACUCAUGUUUUUCAACAAUCAAGCUCAAAAACAAAAGACAAGGAAAAGCUCAAAAACAUAGACAAAACUAAUUAUUGUAACAUAACUAAACUAAAGUAACUAAACAAGAAAAAAAAAUAAAAAUAAACAACGGAUAAAUGAGAUAAGUAACCCGUCUUCACCCUCCCCCCAAACUUAUUUCACACAAAGGAGAAAUAAAUUUGGACGAAGAAGAAGAAGAAAAUGGCUACUUGUCUCGUACUCACAAGGAAGGUGGAGGCUUAGGCGGUGGCCAUUUCUCAUCAAAUUUGUAUGCUCCAUCCACCGCGACCCAAAAAUAUGGUGGCUUUGCAAUUCUUGAGACAUCCCGGGCGUCAUGGUAAUCUCGUUCACCAUCUAGAGUACCACCACACUCAAACAAUUCCUUAUUAGACAAAUCAAAGUGAAAAUCAAAAAGAUGAAGAUAAAUAAAAGUGAAAGAAGCAAGCCUUCAUAGAAUCGCUCGUGUCGAGGUAAGGAUCGACAAAAUUUUUGACUUUGCAUUCUUUAAAGCUUGUGAAAUCUUCAUCCUUUUGGAAUUGUAGAGGUUGUGUUGGAAAAGUUGGGCUCUCGACUUCAAGGGGUUUGGAGAAUUGAUCCUCAUCUUCUUCAUACUCUUUUUCAACUUCUUGAGGCUCUUCACUUAGCAAUGGCAUUGGUUCCUCAUACAAGGUUCCAUUUUGUAGGCUAAUGGCCAUGCACAAAUCAUCAAUUCGCUUUUGAUUUUUCAUAGUGGUAGCCAAAGACCUCCUUUGCUCAUCUAGCAUAACCACCGAUUUUGCUAGACUUUUUUCUAUCCAAGCUUGUGUAGUUAUGAAGCAUUGUAGGAGAUCGUCUUUCGAAUUCGAUUUCUCCUCUUGAUAGCAUCGAUUUCCCCCUUGGAAGCCUUCUUGAGUGGAAUAAGAAUUUUCAUAAUUACAACUAUUGAAAUGGUCCUCAUACUCCAAUGGUGAUUGCCACUCCAUGGCAUUGCACCCCAUGUCAUAAUACUCACCAUAGGAAGGUGUUGGUUGGAAGGCUUUUUGGAUCAUUGGUUGCCUACAAUUUCUUUUGGCUUCUAAACUCGCAACUUAAGUUGCAUCAUCGCCAAUUGUAGUUGGAGUUGCUCAACCAACUCAUUCCUUCCAUCAUCCAUUUUUGGUGUUGUUAUUACUUUUGUUUUUCAAUUUUCUCUAACAAAAAUAAAUAAACAUCUAAAUAAGCAAACAUAAAAACAAUAUCUAAAUUAGUUAAGCACAAUUAUUUAUAAUAUCAAAAGUAAAAAACUCAACCAAUCCCCGGCAACGGCGCCAAAAACUUGUUCGCUAUUAUUUUCGCUACGCCGCAAGUGUACGGUGUAGUUGCAAUAUAUGGAAGCAAGGUCGUAUUCCACAAGGAUUGGUGAAUUUAAACUUCUAAAUAUUAUUAAUAAGUUGUUUUCAAUCUAUUUAGACAACCAAAGUUCAAGAGGUAUUGAUAACUAAAACAAAACUAAAUAAAGCAAGAAAAGUAAAUAACAAUAACAUAAACUUAGUGAAUAAAUUGGGGAAUGACUUGAAUGAAAGUUAUCCUAGGAACUAGAUUUCGAUAGAUCGUAAUGAACUUCAAUCUAAAUCAAUUUAAAUCUUGAUAUGGCCUACUUAUCUAGGGCGAUCUCCCCACUAGUUUUAGCCCCCUCCCGGACGACUAAAACAGUAGAUUACGGGUCAUAAUUGCUGUCCCCGGUCAAUUUCUAACCUAUAACUCCCAAGAGCACAAAGGAUCAACAAGCCCUCACCCAACUCUCAACCUCCCGGUUUAUUGAGAUGAUAUGUAUCAAACUCCUAAUCUAUUGUAAUUAUCCUCUCCCGAAUUCAAAUCACAAAUUAGAAAUGCACAAAAGGUGGCCAACCAAUCAUACAAGAGAUAAAUCUAGGACUUGAAAAGAUAACAUAAGCACAAUCAAGAUAUAUAUAGAACAAAGAAAUCAAUCCAUUACAAAUCCAUCUAAUCUAAUCCCUAAGAUAAGAGAUUUUAGCCAAGCAUAUUCAUAAUAAAAGCAAAUCUCAAGUCAUAAGAAAACAUAAAUAAAGAUAUAGAGAGAUAGAGAUUCAUAGACAAAUCCUAUAAUCUUGAUCUUCAAUCAUGUAGUCUUGAUGAGCUCCUUUCCAAGUCUUCCCCUCUUUCUUUGAUUUUGGUGUUGUUCUUGUGUGUGGAAGAGAGAAAAAAUGGUAGAGAAUAGAGGCUAGGGUUUGGAAAUGGAGUGUUGGGGAAGAUGAAGUGGGUGUGUGUGGUGAAUGA